rnacentral:rRNA from 1 species
GAUGAACGCUGGCGGCGUGCCUAAUACAUGCAAGUCGAGCGAACAGACGCGGAGCUUGCUCCUCUGACGUUAGCGGCGGACGGGUGAGUAACACGUGGAUAACCUACCUAUAAGACUGGGAUAACUUCGGGAAACCGGAGAAAAUACCGUAUAACAUAUUGAACCGAGUGGUUCAAUAGUGAAAGACGGUUUGGCUGUCACGAAUAGAUGGAUCCGCGCCGCAGUAGCGAGUUGGUAAGGUAACGGCUUACCAAGGCAACGAUGCGUAGCCGACCUGAGAGGGUGAUCGGCCACUCUGGAACUGAGACACGGUCCCGACUCCUACGGGAGGCAGCAGUAGGGCAUCUUCCGCAAAGGGCGAAAGCCUGACGGAGUAACGCCGCGUGAGUGAUGCACGUCUUCGGAUCGUAAAGCUCUGUUAUUAGGGAAGAACAAAUGUGUAAGUACCUAUGCGCAUCUUGACGGUACCUAAUCAGAAAGCCCCGGCUAACUACGUG